UAUGAACGCUGGCGGCGUGCCUAAUACAUGCAAGUCGAGCGAACAGACGAGGAGCUUGCUCCUCUGACGUUAGCGGCGGACGGGUGAGUAACACGUGGAUAACCUACCUAUAAGACUGGGAUAACUUCGGGAAACCGGAGCUAAUACCGGAUAAUAUAUUGAACCGCAUGGUUCAAUAGUGAAAGACGGUUUUGCUGUCACUUAUAGAUGGAUCCGCGCCGCAUUAGCUAGUUGGUAAGGUAACGGCUUACCAAGGCAACGAUGCGUAGCCGACCUGAGAGGGUGAUCGGCCACACUGGAACUGAGACACGGUCCAGACUCCUACGGGAGGCAGCAGUAGGGAAUCUUCCGCAAUGGGCGAAAGCCUGACGGAGCAACGCCGCGUGAAUGAUGAAGGUCUUCGGAUCGUAAAACUCUGUUAUUAGGGAAGAACAAAUGUGUAAGUAACUAUGCACGUCUUGACGGUACCUAAUCAGAAAGCCACGGCUAACUACGUG
rnacentral:rRNA from 1 species